rnacentral:rRNA from 1 species
AGGAAAAGAAACUAACAAGGAUUCCCCUAGUAACGGCGAGUGAAGAGGGAAGAGCUCAAAUUUUGAAUCUGGCGUCUUUGGCGUCCGAAUUGUAAUCUAGAGAAGUGUUUUCCGUGACGGACCGUGCACAAGUCUCCUGGAAUGGAGCGUCAUAGAGGGUGAGAAUCCCGUAUAUGGCAUGGACUGCCGUUGCUCUGUGAUACACUCUCGACGAGUCGAGUUGUUUGGGAAUGCAGCUCUAAAUGGGUGGUAAAUGCCAUCUAAAGCUAAAUAUUGGCGAGAGACCGAUAGCGAACAAGUACCGUGAGGGAAAGAUGAAAAGCACUUUGGAAAGAGAGUGAAACAGUACGUGAAAUUGUUGAAAGGGAAACGCUUGAAGUCAGUCGCGCCGUUCGGGAUUCAGCCUUGCUUCUGCUCGGUUUACUUCCUGUUGGGUGGGUCAACAUCAGUUUUGGUCGGAGGAGAAAGGCUUGGGGAAUGUGGCAGCAUUCGUGCUGUGUUAUAGCCCCUUGUUGUAUACUUCGGCUGGGACUGAGGAUCGCAGCACGCCUUUGGCCGGGGUUCGCCCACGUACGUGCUUAGGAUGUUGGCAUAAUGGCUUUAA